rnacentral:rRNA from 1 species
GACGAACGCUGGCGGCGUGCUUAACACAUGCAAGUCGAACGGUAAGGCCCUUCGGGGUACACGAGUGGCGAACGGGUGAGUAACACGUGGGUGAUCUGCCCUGCACUUCGGGAUAAGCCUGGGAAACUGGGUCUAAUACCGGAUAGGACCACUGCCUGCAUGGGUGGUGGUGGAAAGCUUUUGCGGUGUGGGAUGGGCCCGCGGCCUAUGAGCUUGUUGGUGGGGUGAUGGCCUACCAAGGCGACGACGGGUAGCCGGCCUGAGAGGGUGACCGGGCACACUGGGACUGGGAUACGGCCCAGACACCGACGGGAGGCAGCAGUGGGGAAUAUUGCACAAUGGGCGCAAGCCUGAUGCAGCGACGCCGCGUGAGGGAUGACGGCCUUCGGGUUGUAAACCUCUUUCAGCACCGACGAAGCGCAAGUGACGGUAGGUGCAGAAGAAGGACCGGCCAACUACGUGCCAGCCGCCGCGGUAA